GAUGGUUAAGUGAUUGUGACACGCCUGAAAGGCAAACUUAUGUCACAGAAAAGAAGAGCUCUCUGGCUGGAUGGUUACAUACAGUUUUGCACAGACAUCUGGAAAGUUUGAUCUGGGAGAGACCACAUCACAGAAAAAUUGUUACUGUCUGAGGGGACACUGGUGAUAAAAACCUUAAAACUCAUAUCUUAACUAAAUCUUACAUGUGCUCAACCUGCCACCUUUUUUGUCAUCACUGGAGUGAAUAGUCUAAUGUGUGCCUAUGAAAUAUUACACCAGACAUAAGGUUAUUAAGCUGCGGGAAAACACCUGCAGGUGUAAACCAUGUCAAGUGUUUAGAACAGUGCCUGCACACAAGCCAUGACCGAAAAAUGUUCAACUUAUAGCCACGCUCUGGUGCCCUCAAGAAGUUUGUUUAGAGGGCAAAAGUAGAAGAAGAGCAGCAGCUGCGGGGGCCUCAUGUGAACUUGGACAAGGGACAUCUCUGCACCACGCUAUUCAGAAAGAAGCCCAGAGGAGUCUUCCAGAUGUGCUGACCCUGGGCUUCUGCACCACUGCAACACCUGUAUGGAGCACGGUAUACCUCCGCAUCCUUGAAGGAAAAUCCCUUGCUCUCUUAUUUCUCUGAACCACGCCCUCGUACUGUCAAGAAUCCAGGGGUCACGGAAAGACUCCAGGCCUCGCUGAGUGUGGUCACGUGACAUAGUAACACUCUCAUUUCCCGGAUUCUGUUGUCCUGUGGCUGCAUCCUGUCCUCACCUUGAAGCGCUCAUGGACCGUGGCAGGGAGAAAUAUUAAUGCGUCGAGCAUGUUGGAAGGCACAAAGGGAAAUGAGCCGGCAUCUUCAUUGCACCACUUUAAGGAAUGAGACUUUGUGCUGCUGCUUAGAGGGUUUUUAAAACGCGAGGACAUACCAUAUACAACAUAAUUUAAAGGCGCUAUCCAGUCCCCCUGAGGUCCAUUGGAGCGGAACUCCUUGGUCUGGCUGGUGUUUUAACUGUUCUGCUCAAGUAACUGCCAGCAAAUAAUAAAUAAGAAGGCCUUAUCUGUUAGUCUCUGUUUAAUUGGCACUGUUAAAUACAUAAACAGAAUCCUCCCACUCCUUCAAAUGCUAGCACUUCCCUUCGGGUCAAAUCAGUGGUUUUUGUAGUCCUGGCAGCUUAAUAAAGUACUGCUUGAUCAGAAUUAAAGUUUGA